GACGAACGCUGGCGGCGUGCUUAACACAUGCAAGUCGAACGGAGAGGCCCCUUUGGGGGUACUCGAGUGGCGAACGGGUGAGUAACACGUGAGUAACCUGCCCUUGACUUCGGGAUAACUUCAGGAAACUGGGGCUAAUACCGGAUAGGAAUCCUUGCUGCAUGGUGGGGGUUGGAAAGCUUCGGCGGUUUUGGAUGGACUCGCGGCUUAUCAGCUUGUUGGUGGGGUAGUGGCUUACCAAGGCUUUGACGGGUAGCCGGCCUGAGAGGGCGACCGGCCACAGUGGGACUGAGAUACGGCCCAGACUCCUACGGGAGGCAGCAGUGGGGAAUAUUGCACAAUGGGCGGAAGCCGGAUGCAGCAACGCCGCGUGCGGGAUGACGGCCUUCGGGUUGGAAACCGCUUUCAGCAGGGGCGAAGCUUGUGGUGACGGUACCUGCAGAAGAAGCACCGGCUAACUACGUG
rnacentral:rRNA from 1 species